rnacentral:rRNA from 1 species
GCAGCCGCGGUAAUUCCAGCUCCAAUAGCGUAUAUUUAAGUUGUUGCAGUUAAAAAGCUCGUAGUUGGAUUUCGGGUGGGUUUUAGCGGUCCGCCUAUGGUGAGUACUGCUAUGGCCUUCCUUACUGUCGGGGACCUGCUUCUGGGCUUAAUUGUCCGGGACAGGGAUUCGGCAUGGUUACUUUGAGUAAAUUAGAGUGUUCAAAGCAGGCUUACGCCGUGAAUACUUUAGCAUGGAAUAACAUAAUAGGACUCUGCCCUAUUGUGUUGGCCUGUAGGAGUGGAGUAAUGAUUAAGAGGAACAGUCGGGGGCAUUCGUAUUUCAUUGUCAGAGGUGAAAUUCUUGGAUUUAUGAAAGACGAACUACUGCGAAAGCAUUUGCCAAGGAUGUUUUCAUUAAUCAAGAACGAAAGUUGGGGGCUCGAAGACGAUUAGAUACCGUCGUAGUCUCAACCAUAAACGAUGCCGA